GUCCCUGUAGCGCAGUGGAUAGCGUCUUGGACCUCUCAUCCCAAGGUCUUGGGUUCGAAUCCCACCUGGGAUG